rfam:Gossypium raimondii chromosome 7, whole genome shotgun sequence.
AUUCUAUGAUGGGAGCAUUUUCGUAAUAACUUCUUAAAUCAUUCUCAUGCCUCAUACAAAGGCUCAUCAUCAGAUUGCUAAAAUUUAGUAAUUUCUUUUCUGAGUUU